rnacentral:rRNA from 1 species
CCCUUAGAUGUUCUGGGCCGCACGCGCGCUACAAUGGCACACUCAGCGAGUCUCCUUUACCGACAGGUAUAGGAAAUCUUUUCAGUGUUUGCCGUGAUGGGGCUAGACCCUUGUAAUUAUUGGUCUCCAACGAGGAAUUCCUAGUAAACGCAGGUCAUUAACCUGCAUUGAUUACGUCCCUGCCCUUUGUACACACCGCCCGUCGCACCUACCGAUUGAAUGGUCCGGUGAAGUCUCCGGACUGAGUACUUUUAGUACUUGGGAAGUUGACUAAACCUUACUAUUUAGAGGAAGGUGAAGUCGUAACA